rnacentral:miRNA from 1 species
CGUCCGUUUCAAAGUAAAACUU